UACGAAGGGGGCUAGCGUUGCUCGGAAUCACUGGGCGUAAAGGGCGCGUAGGCGGCCAUUCAAGUCAGAGGUGAAAGCCCAGGGCUUAACCCUGGAAUUGCCUUUGAUACUGUUUGGCUUGAGACCGGAAGAGGUAAGUGGAACUGCGAGUGUAGAGGUGAAAUUCGUAGAUAUUCGCAAGAACACCAGUGGCGAAGGCGGCUUACUGGCCCGAUACUGACGCUGAGGCACGAAAGCGUGGGGAGCAAACAGG
rnacentral:rRNA from 1 species